rnacentral:rRNA from 1 species
UUGGAUCUAAAGUUAAACCUGCCCAAUGUAUUUUAUUAAUGGCCGCGGUACUUUGACCGUGCUAAGGUAGCGCAAUCAGUUGGCUCUUAAUUGGAGUCGGGUAUGAAUGGAAUUACGGAGUUUAGCUGUCUCUUUGUUAAUUUUUUGAAAUUACUAUGUAGGUGAAAAAGCCUAGAUAUAGAAAAAGGACGAGAAGACCCUUAGAGUUUUACUUUAAUAGAAUCGAUUUAAAUAUUCUUAGUAGUUUAGUUGGGGCAACAUAGGAGAAAAUUAAUCUCCUUAAUAUUACUAACCGAUGAUUUUAAAUAUGAAUAAACUACCUUAGGGAUAACAGCAUAAUUUAUUAAAUAAGUUUGUGACCUCGAUGUUGGACUAGGAAACUUAAAGGCUAGCCGUUUUUAAGGAAAGUUCUGUUCGAACUAUUA